rnacentral:tRNA from 1 species
GGGCCUAUAGCUCAGUUGGUUUAGAGCGCACGCCUGAUAAGCGUGAGGUCGAUGGUUCGAGUCCAUCUAGGCCCA